rnacentral:lncRNA from 1 species
AUGAAGGAGUUUUUGCAUCUUUGUAAAUACAUCCAUCAGCUGCCAGCUCACUUCUUCUGCUCUCCAGGCUCCUUCCAAGUCUCAGCAUCUUCUCCAUUAGAGGCAACCAAGGCUGCAGUAAAAGUCUCUGCUGACUUGAAUGAAAGAACAGUGUCUCAUUGCAAGAAGCAGAACCAGCUGCUUCCAGACCAAACUGGAAUUAUACAACAGGAGUUACUGAUGUGUACAGUAAACCUAAAGGAUUCUGCAAGGCAAAUUGCUACUAAAGGCAUUGCACUUGUCUCCAAACAGGAAUGGUGAAUUCUGUCUGUAUCUGUGCUUGGAGGCGACAAACAGUCCUCUGUAGAAAUGCUUCCCCCUCAUAGAGUAAAGUACAUAUUAGAGUUUCACUACAGGAGAGGAAGGUUGAAAUAGAGAGGGUUUUUGUUUGUUUUUUUUUGACAUUGUGUUGAUGUAUUCAACCCAUUUGCAGCUUUGGGUAUUAAUCAACACAUUUUGACAAAAGCAAAACAAAAGAAAAAAAAUCAUUUUAUCCAUCCUCUAAAAGGAAAGAAAACAACUUUGACCUUUCCUUUUAAAAUCUUUCACCAUACUAAAAAAAAAAAAAAAAAAAAAAUAGAAAAUAUAUAUAUCCUUAACAAAAGAAUUUUCACAGCUUCAAAUCGUACUUUUUUUCAUGCCUUCACAAGUUCAUUUCAGAUCAACCCCAAAUUAUUCCCCAGUUGUUUCUUUGGAACACUGGAUGGGACAGAAAGUCUCUGCCCUUCUCUGGGGUGCUGAACUGCAGCUUUCUGGGCUUCUCACACCUUAGGAUUUGAGACUGAGUUAACAGAAACACUGGCAAGUAUCAGUGCAGAUCCUUUCAAACACAAAACUAUGCGAUUGGUUUUUGCUGAAACAAGAAGCAUCCUGGAGCAAACAGUUUGAAGUAGAUAAAAUCUGAUUUAUUUUUGUCCCCCUUUUUCUCCUUUAUUUACAAUUGUGCUGAUCUCCUGGAGUUAACUGCCCAACUAUUUGAGGCACAGGACAGAACCUGCAGCUUUCAUGCGCCUGGACAGACACCUGCCUCAGAGCUGGGGGCUGCAGAUUUCCUGCUUCAGCAGGGCUAUGGAUCACAAUGUUAGGAGGUGGUAGGGAGCAACUCCCUUCCCUCCAAACCCAAACAAAGAAACUUCUCUUUGUGAAGCAGCAAGUCCUGCCCCAAACUUUCUCCUUGGCUGUCCAGAAUCUGUUGUCCUGCUCUGUCUUAGCAGCAGAGGGGAUGAGGAAGCCAGAAAAGUAGAUCCUGCAGGGGAGGGAG